rnacentral:lncRNA from 1 species
UUUUACUUGUUUCUCUCCUCCAUCUCUUAAUUUCGAUUGUUUCCAUCCCGGCACAACAAAGAAGAACCAUUAGAGAAUUCCCAAUAUGGCAGUGUGCAGGAACAUCUCUGGACCAUUGUGUCCACAGUGGCACAGGAGAACAACCUUCUCCAGAGUCUGUCUGAUGCAGUGAAAUGUCCUGUUUAUUUGAUGGAAGGAAUGAGAAAGGUACUCUACAAAGGAGCAAGGUC